rnacentral:rRNA from 1 species
AGAGUUUGAUCCUGGCUCAGAACGAACGCUGGCGGCAUGCCUAACACAUGCAAGUCGAACGGGAUCCUGGCUUCGGUCAGGUGAGAGUGGCGGACGGGUGAGUAACGCGUGGGAACCUGCCCAGUGGUGGGGGAUAACUGCGGGAAACUGCAGCUAAUACCGCAUGAGCCCGAGAGGGGAAAGAUUUAUCGCCAUUGGAGGGGCCCGCGUUCGAUUAGGUAGUUGGUGAGGUAACGGCUCACCAAGCCGACGAUCGAUAGCUGGUCUGAGAGGAUGAUCAGCCACACUGGGACUGAGAUACGGCCCAGACUCCUACGGGAGGCAGCAGUGGGGAAUAUUGGACAAUAAGGGCAACCCUGAUCCAGCAAUGCCGCGUGAGUGAUGAAGGCCUUCGGGUUGUAAAGCUCUUUUGGCGGGGACGAUGAUGACGGUACCCGCAGAAUAAGCCCCGGCUAACUUCGUG